GAUGAACGCUGGCGGCGUGCCUAAUACAUGCAAGUCGAGCGAACAGAUGAGAAGCUUGCUUCUCUGAUGUUAGCGGCGGACGGGUGAGUAACACGAGGGUAACCUACCUAUAAGACUGGGAUAACUCCGGGAAACCGGGGCUAAUACCGGAUAAUAUUUUGAACCGCAUGGUUCAAUAGUGAAAGACGGUUUCUGCUGUCACUUAUAGAUGGACCCGCGCCGUAUUAGCUCGUUGGUAAGGUAACGGCUUACCAAGGCGACGAUACGUAGCCGACCUGAGAGGGUGAGCGGCCACACUGGAACUGCGACACGGUCCAGACUCCUACGGGAGGCAGCAGUAGGGAAUCUUCCGCAAUGGGCGAAAGCCUGACGGAGCAACGCCGCGUGAGUGAUGAAGGUCUUCGGAUCGUAAAACUCUGUUGUUAGGGAAGAACAAAUUUGUUAGUAACUGAACAAGUCUUGACGGUACCUAACCAGAAAGCCACGGCUAACUACGUGCCAGCAGCCGCCGUAA
rnacentral:rRNA from 1 species